ACUUGGUUUGGUGGAAUAGAUGUCUUCAAAACCAAUCACGUACUGCAAAUCACCUAAACUGCUCAUUGAUUCACCAGAAAUCAACAUGGGGAGAUAGUGGGAAACGAUGUCUCGAUCAGAAGGAUCAAAAACCACGCCUAGGGAAUACAUUGUGAAGGCAUGCAGAAGCUUCUGGGAUUGGUCUUCGAUGAAGAGAGUUUCCUCUUAUCUCCCUAAGUUGACUGCUGGCCACGUGGGGUUAUUGGUCUUCUCAUUCUCAGCUUCCAUUCAUGAAAGGCAAGCAACGCUUCUUCUUCAGCUCCAGCCAGAAGUCCAACGGGCAACUGUAGCUCCCUGGUUCACCAAGUCAAGCUCAUCCUUUGAUGGAAAGUUUAGUGGGACUGAGGAAUUUAAAUUAAGCACCGCCUAGAACCUGCCUGCAUGGAAGUACUGCACUCAUUACGAUAGCUUCCAAGUGAUUGCAGGCUUAAUUUUUUUGGUUAAGGUGACAGGGUUUUUACAGAUUUAACUUGGGCACUCUUGAUAUUAACUAAUGCAACUUGAUUAGUUGUUAAUCCAUAACAAAUACUUUGCGUUUUGCCCAUUAUGAGAAUAACUCUUUUCUUGAGUUUGUCUGUAUUGCAGUAUAUAUGCUACAGCUAUGAGCUGAUUUCA